UUUAGCGGCGAUAGUACGUUGAAUGCACCAGUUCCCCACGGCCCACGGAUCACUGAAGUUAAGCAAUGUUGCGCGUGGUUAGAACCUUGAUGGUGACUAUUAGGGAUCCGGGGUAUCCGCGUGCUGCUGGGC
rnacentral:rRNA from 1 species